rnacentral:lncRNA from 1 species
CAUUAGACAUACACAAAGGUCUUAACAGAAAACAUACCUGGGAAUCCUCAAUCUGCGUCGCGCCCUGCUAGAAAAAAAGAAAAGGCGCAAUUAGACAUACACAAAGGUCUUAACAGAAAACAUACCUGGAAAUCCUCAAUCUGCGUCGCGCCCUGCAAAAAAAAAAAAAAAAGGCCACACGACCUAAAGGAAAAAAAAGAAACCAUUAGACAUACACAAAGGUCUUAACAGAAAACAUACCUGGGAAUCUCCUAAUCUGCGUCGCGCCUGCUAGAAAAAAAGAAAAGGACAACAUUAGACAUACACAAAGGUCUUAACAGAAAACAUACCUGAAAAUACUCAAUCUGCGUCGCGCCCUGCUAGAAAAAAAGAAAAGGCAACAUUAGACAUACACAAAGGCCUUAACAGAAAACAUACCUUCAAAUCUUCAAUCUGCGUCGCUCCCUGCUGGAAAAAAAAGAAAAGGCGACAUUAGACAUACUCAAAGGCCUUAACAGAAAACAUACCUGGGAAUCCUCAAUCUGCGUCGCGCCCUGCUAGAAAAAAAAGAAAAAGGCGCACAUUAGACAUACACAAAGGUCUUAACAGAAAACAUACCUGGGAAUCCUCAAUCUGCGUCGCGCCCUGCUAGAAAAAAAGAAAAGGCGAAAUUAGACAUACACAAAGGUCUUAACAGAAAACAUACCU